rfam:Picea glauca, whole genome shotgun sequence.
GGAUGCGAUCAUACCUGCUUUAAUGCAUCGAAUCCCACCAGAACUCUGCAGUUAAGCGCGCUUGGGCUAGAGUAGUACUGGGAUGGGUGACCUCCUGGGAAGUCCUAGUGUUGCACACU